rnacentral:rRNA from 1 species
UACAGAGGUCCCAAGCGUUGUUCGGAUUUACUGGGCGUAAAGGGCGCGUAGGCGGAUGUUUAAGUCGGGGGUGAAAGCCCGGGGCUCAACCUCGGAAUUGCCUUCGAUACUGGACAUCUUGAGUACGGGAGAGGUGAGUGGAACUCCGAGUGUAGAGGUGAAAUUCGUAGAUAUUCGGAAGAACACCAGUGGCGAAGGCGACUCACUGGCCCGUUACUGACGCUGAGGCGCGAAAGCUAGGGGAGCAAACAGG